rnacentral:rRNA from 1 species
UACAGAGGGGGCAAGCGUUAUUCGGAAUUAUUGGGCGUAAAGGGCGCGUAGGCGGCCUGGCAAGUGGAUGGUGAAAUCCCUCGGCUUAACCGAGGAACUGCCAUCCAGACUGCUUGGCUUGAGACCGGGAGAGGUGAGUGGAAUUCCCAGUGUAGCGGUGAAAUGCGUAGAUAUCGGGAGGAACACCAGUGGCGAAGGCGGCUACCUGGACCAGCACUGACACUGAGGCACGAAAGCGUGGGGAGCAAACAGG